GACGAGCCACACGAACGUUAUUCGGAAUUACUGGGCUUAAAGGGUGCGUAGGCGGUGCGGAAAGUUGGGUGUGAAAUCCCUCGGCUCAACCAAGGAACUGCGCCCAAAACUACCGUACUCGAGGAAGAUAGAGGUGAGCGGAACUUACGGUGGAGCGGUGAAAUGCGUUGAUAUCGUAAGGAACACCCGUGGCGAAAGCGGCUCUCUGGACCGAGACUGACGCUGAGGCGCGAAAGCGUGGGGAGCAAACAGG
rnacentral:rRNA from 1 species